GGCUCGGUAGCUAAGUUGGUAAAGCACUCGUCUAGCAUACAAGAGUCGUGGGUUCGAAUCGCAUCUGAGCAC
rnacentral:tRNA from 1 species